ACGUAGGUGGCGAGCGUUAUCCGGAUUUACUGGGCGUAAAGGGAGCGUAGGCGGAUGAUUAAGUGGGAUGUGAAAUACCCGGGCUCAACUUGGGUGCUGCAUUCCAAACUGGUUAUCUAGAGUGCAGGAGAGGAGAGUGGAAUUCCUAGUGUAGCGGUGAAAUGCGUAGAGAUUAGGAAGAACACCAGUGGCGAAGGCGACUCUCUGGACUGUAACUGACGCUGAGGCUCGAAAGCGUGGGGAGCAAACAG
rnacentral:rRNA from 2 species